GUCUACGGCCAUGCCACCCCGAGUAAGUCCAAUGCCCCAUGUCCGAUCUCGGAAGCUAAGCAGGGUUGGGCCUGGUCAGUACUUAGAUGGGAGACUACCUAGGAAGACCAAGUGCUGUAGGCA
ensembl:rRNA 5S_rRNA 5S ribosomal RNA